GAGCUUGUAAAACAACCGGCUGUAAUCUGUAGGAUUAUAGUGAAAUUCCCAAGAGGUCUUGGGGAGUGGAUGUAGGUGCUGGGGUGCACCGAACCACUAUAUGUUUCUUGUGUUUGUAAUGCCUCUUGUCAUUGUCUAACUAACACACUUACUUACUUAGAUAAAUUGCUUGCUUAACUCUUAUCCGCACAUCCUUUAGUUGCAAGCAUAUUCAAUCAAGUCACAUUCUAUACAUCAAACUGCUGCUAAG
rnacentral:lncRNA from 1 species